rnacentral:tRNA from 1 species
GGCCUUGUAUUCAUUUUGUGAUUAUAGAAUGCAAUUCUGUAGGGGUGAGAAGUACUUACCAAGGCCU